rnacentral:rRNA from 1 species
CCUACGGGUGGCAGCAGUGGGGAAUAUUGGGCAAUGGGCGCAAGCCUGACCCAGCAACGCCGCGUGAAGGAAGAAGGCUUUCGGGUUGUAAACUUCUUUUGACAGGGAAGAGUAGAAGACGGUACCUGUCGAAUAAGCCACGGCUAACUACGUGCCAGCAGCCGCGGUAAUACGUAGGUGGCAAGCGUUGUCCGGAUUUACGGGGUGUAAAGGGCGUGUAGCCGGGUUGACAAGUCAGAUGUGAAAUCCUGGGGCUUAACCGCAGAACUGCAUUUGAAACUGUUGAUCUUGAGUGCUGGAGAGGAAGACGGAAUUCGUAGUGUAGCGGUGAAAUGCGUAGAUAUCAGGAGGAACACCAGUGGUGAAGGCGGUCUUCUGGACAGCUACUGACGGUGAGGCGCGAAAGCGUGGGGAGCAAACAGGAUUAGAUACCCGGGUAGUC